rnacentral:rRNA from 1 species
CUGGGCUUGACAUGUGCCUGACCGCUCUGGAAACAGGGCUUCCCUUCGGGGCAGGUUCACAGGUGGUGCAUGGCUGUCGUCAGCUCGUGUCGUGAGAUGUUGGGUUAAGUCCCGCAACGAGCGCAACCCCCGUCGUAUGUUGCCAGCAUUUAGUUGGGGACUCAUGCGAGACUGCCGGUGACAAACCGGAGGAAGGUGGGGAUGACGUCAAGUCAUCAUGCCCCUUAUGUCCAGGGCUACACACGUGCUACAUUGGCGCGUACAGAGGGCUGCGAUACCGCGAGGUGGAGCGAAUCCCUCAAAGCGCGUCUCGGUUCGGAUUGCAGGCUGAAACUCGCCUGCAUGAAGGUGGAGUUGCUAGUAAUCGCGGAUCAGCAUCGCCGCGGUGAAUACGUUCCC